UACGGAGGGGGCGAGCGUUAUUCGGAAUUAUUGGGCGUAAAGAGCUUGUAGGCGGUUUGUCGCGUCGUCCGUGAAAACCAGUGGCUUAACCAUUGGCUUGCGGGCGAUACGGGCAGACUUGAGUAUUGCAGGGGAGACUGGAAUUCCUGGUGUAGCGGUGAAAUGCGCAGAUAUCAGGAGGAACACCGGUGGCGAAGGCGGGUCUCUGGGCAGUAACUGACGCUGAGAAGCGAAAGCGUGGGUAGCGAACAGG
rnacentral:rRNA from 1 species